AACUAACUGCAAAGGAGCUGAAAACGAAAGAAUAAACAGAAGCAAAUGACGCAAAGAACAGGAGAUGAACUGAAGAGAAUACCAACAGAUAUUAGACCAGAGUGAGUAAAUGAAGUCAGAGAGGCUGGAAUAAUGGCCCACAGAGCACUAUAACUAAACACACACCCGUCGUAAUCUCACUGAAAACACUUAACGCAGCCACGGACUGAAUCCAGCUGUCACGCUGUAAUUACCACCUGCUGUGCAGCGACACGUGAUCGGUGAUCUGCGUGAAACAAUACAGGUUACAUUUGAAACAUGCACAGAACGAUGAAGUGUCACGUCGCCCUGCAGCCAGCAGGUGUCGCGGUACACUAACGCGUUGCGGGUCGGGGAGGUAACGGGAGAGGUGUGAUGAACCUGGGAUGUAUAUAGCCUCCCGCACAGCAUCGAUAAAAGGGGAACACCUUGAGAGAGGCGCAGACGAGCCGCCGCGGAGCCGCCGGACACCGCAGCUGAGCGCGGGGGCCUCUGUUGCGCAUGUGGACGGGCGAGCCAACGCACCGCAGGAAUGUGUGCAGAUCAGAGGCAAACGCACAUGCUCGGGCUUUUACUAUGUAUGUGGUGCUCGAUCAUUUUCAAGUCCUCGGGCAAUAUAGUAGAGACUACGGGGUCACUUUGCUGUGCCGCUGUCGGAAACCUAUAAUUGGAAACGAGCCAGUGACGCGCUGAAAAUAACCAGGUUAGCACUUAGUACCGGUCCAUUUUGGGGAGGGCCCAACACGAGGGCGCAGCACCAUAUAUCAGCUCUUUCCAGCUGUUUGGGAAUAUCCUGCUCUAGAAAAGCUGCAGCACGGCGGCAGCAGCAGCGGCGCAAGCAGGGUGCUUUUUCUCCCGCCCCCCCCUUCCAGAAUGGAUAUUGGGUGAGUGACUGGGUGCGCACGGGGGGAUCUCUUGUUGGGAAACGCAGAAGCUCUCUCUCCCUCUCUCUUUUUUUUCUUGAAGGGAGGGAGGGCGGGAGGGGAGGUGGGAGACUGGCACAAGGCUCGACACUGUUGCGUCUGCAUGUUUUUUCUCCUUGGACAGACAGGAAAAAAGAUGGACCAGGGGGACUGUCCGACUUAUUCCACAAGAGAGUUCCCGGCCCCCACCCCCCCAAAAGGAUAAUCUUGCUCAAUUUGGGAUGCGUGCAACACCAAGUGAUCACAUAUUACUUGGGCGGCGGUGGUGCUGGUGGUGGAUGGACGGUGAAGUUCAACUUCGCAUGCAGACGCGAUCUCCUCCAGGCAGCCAGACAAACCCACCAGACAGUCGGCGCGUAUUACGUGAAGAGGUCUCCAUAUGGGCUACGGGAUGCGAACACCUGCCCGGUACGCAGGUAACUACAAUCCGACGGUGUCGCCUACUUCUUCGAACACCGACAGGCAGCAGAUCAGCAGGAAGUGAAGAAGCAUUUGAACCAGAAAACGGCACAGUCUCUCUGAACCUAUUGUGGAGCUAACAUGGCUGCCAGCAAUAAGACAUGAUGACAUUAUCCUGCUUUCUUGCUGGAGGCCUCCCAGUAAGGAGUUCUUGUGAACACAUCUUCCGAGUGACAUGGAGACGGGCCUGCAGCCACCAGCGGAGCUGAGCCGAGCCGCUUUAGAGCCCUGCUGAGACCUGCCAGGCCCACAGCUUUCCCUGCCAGGGGCCUCGCUCGAAGUCAAAGUGAGUUACAACCCAUGCUCUUGACACACACAUGCUAAUGCAGAAGCAAGCACCCAGUAAGUAGGCAUGCAGGCGCACGCACAGGUGAAAUACAUAGAGGAAUAUAUGUGUGCAACCAUAAACCAGUACAGAGGCAAAGAAAUAACACUGUUCGUGCAAAUAUAUGCACACUCAUACAUAAUGAUACCCCUCUAAAAGAGAUUGUAGCUCCACUGGACCACUAGAUAGACUACAUUUACAUACAUGCAAUCACACACAAUCAUAGAUUUGGUAUUUGCAGCCUAAAUAAAUGAUAUCCCUGCUUCUACCCAUGCAGUAAAGUGAGCAUGUCGUCCAACAGGGGCUCUAUCUGUCAGGGGUAGUUUGAGAUCAAGGUCCAGCAGCUGCUGGAUCAGCUGGAUUGAUCUGUCUGGGUAAACAUGAGGACUGAAAAUGAGUGUGUUUGUGAUUAAAGGCUUAACAGGAAGUGUGUGUGACAGUGAGAGAGAGAGGGAGCUUCAGUAUGCUGUUUAUACCCUGUACAAAAGAGAGCACUGUGUAUUACCUCCAUGCAUAUGUCAUAUAUAUGUGUGUGUGUUAUAUUGUGCUUAUAUCCAGAUCCAUUUUUAAAAAAAACGUUUGGAUACUGCUGGAGUCAAUUUAUAGCAACAUCAUCCUUAUCUUAUACUGGGCAUUACUGGUGCAGCCCCUUAGUUCAUCCUCCUUUCUUCUGAUUGGCUGCCCCUCGUUAAUAGAAGUCAGUGGGCGGGGGUUCUGUGCUCACAAGCCAGAGCUAUGUACCAUUAACUGGUUGCGACAGAUUGCUGCCCCUCACUGAGCCUGGUUCUGACAGAGGUUUCUUCCUGUUAAAUGGGAGUUUUUUCUUCCCACUGUUGCCAAAUGCUUGUUCAAAGGUUAAUGUUUGAAUAUUGGGAUUUUCUCUGUUUUCUGGCCUUUACUUUACAAUACAUCGUGCUUCGAGCCGACGAAUGUGAUUUGGCAAGUUAAUUUACGCAACUGAAUUGAAUUAAGAAAACCUCUCAAGCCAUUGUAACACAUUUUUGACAGAAAAUCAGGAAACUCAUAUUGGCGCUGGUUAAUGUUUUUCAUCAUGACUCACCUAAAAAGAGACAGUCUUCCAGAAAAUGGUUACCAAAAGUAUUUUCCUAACCAUAAUCACGUAGUUUUGGUGCCUAAGCAUAACAAAACUGCAAGCGAAAUUAAAAAAACAACUUAAAGUUGUGACUCAAGUUGUGACUCAACCUUUUCUGAGUUGUCACCAGAUAUCCAAAAUUAUACUGCGAAUUAGUGGAGGGGGGGCCCCUCUAAACAAAGCGAAAAACAUGGCACAAAUCAGAUAGGUGGAAUGCUCAUGGCCAUUUUUUAGAUACUGAGCAAAUGAAGGAGAAUUUACUUAAAAUGUGGUUGUAGCCACAUUAAUUAUCUUGCAAAGUGCCUUUAGAUACAGAAUAAAUGUGUCAGUCCCUCUGCUCAUUACAGCCAAGCCGUAUCUGAAAAGACCCUAUUAAGCUCUCACAUGAGGGCUGACCAACAGUUUCAUGCUGGCUAUAUAUGAAUGUAUCUCACAGCAAUAAUAUAUAGCGAGUGCAUGCGUAGCUAUAUGGUUUGUGUCUAAUCCCAGGAAUGUUGAUGUGGUCCAGAGUUUAAUAAAUGGAGGCGUGGGUGUGGAGUAAGAGUCCCCUGGAGCAGAGUUAAGGUCUUAAUGUACUAUAAAGCCUUGACCCAGACCAUAUACACCCACUCACAGGGACACAGCACCUUCUCUCCAGUCCAGCACAUUCUUUCAUACUUUGGCUACGCAGCAAAGAAAUAUGCACUUGGACAUACACGGAGAUAUGCAAGCACAACAUGGACGAUAUGACCUUAAACAACAAACAUGCGCAAAAUGUACCGAGUGGCUCAAACACACACAUACACACACACACACACACACACACACACACAGACACAGACACACACACACACACACACACACACACACACACAUCCUUGUUGACUUGUGUUGGUCGUUAUUCAAUGAGGAGCACAUGACUUAAAUCGGGUGUGGUGCAUGACAUCUUAUCGAACAAAAGCGUCCCACAGAGAGAGCUGAUGGGGGAGACGAUCCCUCCCUGCUUGUCCUGUCUGUUGGGAGUCAUGAGGUCUCCAUCUCGUUUGCCACGCUGUGUCUCGUGGUUCAAAGUCCAUAAAAUGUUCAAGUUAAAAAAAAAAUCCCUUGCUUUUAAAACUUUCAGCUGCGGUGGUGUGUUGUCAAUAAAUCAGCUGCUUUCCCCGAGGAUAGCAACGUUAUCUCCGGGAGGGAGAGGAAGUGCAAAACACUGCAUGUUUUUCAAGAAUGAAGCCUUUGAAUUUCUUGUUGUGUCCUAUAAAUGUCUCACCUUGAGGGUCUGAUGUCUCGCAGUGAGAAUGGAGGGCUUGUAUUCUACACAUUCAACACGUCGCUUCUACAUGCUUCUGCAGUCAUGCAGAAAUAAACUCAAGUAUGUUGAUCACAGAAGCUUUAUUGUGUUUUGUCUCAUUAACGAUCUCUUUUAAGUGUCUUGCUGAUAAACUUGUCAUUUAACUGUCAAAAUCAUGACGGCUACCUCCAUGUUAGAUCUUACAGGGAAUAUUUCUUCAUUUAAGAGAUAUGCCAGUUUCUCAAAUGCAUUGUAGCAUCGAACUUUUCUAACAUUAACCAGCGGAGCUGAAUAUUAGAAUGGAAAUAUCCAUAUCAGUUGGACCAGACAGUACCCAGGCAGCCUCCUUGUAGAGAGUAAAGUCCAAAUGAACACAUGUGUGAAAUGUUCAGGUAAUUCACAGAGUGAGUUUCCAUCACGUCCUGCCUCCUGCGCAGUCUAUCCAGUCGCCACUCUUCGGCCAAACGUAAACUGCACAAUGCAUUUCAAGUGUCACUAUGCAUCUGUCACAUGUGAGAAAAGCCAACUGUACAAAGUGCAGACCUGAUUCUCUCAACAUUAUCUGGAAUUUAUGUGUAAAACUUGCUAUAGUCUCAUCAACCAAAGUUGCGCGUCACCAUAUAUUAGCUUCAGUGAUAAGAUUAUUUAUCACAACAAAUCUUUGCAACUGUUGCAACUGUUUUGGAGUCCAGUAAGGUUAAUACAGGGGAAAUACUGUGAGUUGCAUACAAAAGCAGGUUGUUCAAGUGCUUCUGUGAGUGUUAAAAUGGCUAAAAAAAAUCUGAAUUCCACAAUGACAAGAGAAGUGAAAAGAUGAUUCUCAAGCUUACUCCUGAACAUUCCCCUUCUCUUUCUUUCUAGCUGAAAAAAGCUUGAAAAGUGUGAGCAAACUGGUGAAAUCAAGCUGAGCAGAAAGGGGUAAACAGGACAUAUGUGUGCAUGUGUCUGUAUAAUCCCAUCACAAGAUAGUGUCGUCGAGAGCCAUUGCCCCGAGGCUGCUGGCCAUAGUCCAUCAAGGGAACUUUAAAUUAGAGUAAUGCUCACUAACACAAGGUUAGACAGUUCAUCUGCUGGAGAGAUAUGAAAAGGGGGGAUUGUCUGGUGCUGUGCUGAUGGCCCAGAGAAAAUAGAGUGAAGAAGUUUUGAAUCCCAGGCCUAUACGUGGACAUGGCUAAGUGUAGAUUGAAUUGAAGAACUGGAGGAUGAAUUGAGGCAGACAGGGUUGCAGAGACUGAGUCCUUUGAUAAUUGAUAAUGGCCUUGACAAAUGUAAGACAAUGUAAUAUUAAAAAAAGUGAAGUAAAAUAAAGUUUGUCAAAUGAUUUGUUUCUGGUUGUGUAAAAUGCUGAAUAAAGUUUGUUUAACACUAAAAUUAACUGUCUCUUUGUCCAUGUGCACAGAAUAUUUACUGUAUAACGUUUAAUUUAAAUGAUCAACAGUGUUAAUGUAUUAAAUGUCCCGACACGGCUGGGCACAGUUGCUUUCGGCAGACAAUACCCAAACAGGAGUAAACAGUGUAUUUUUUACGGACUACUUUAACCUGUGGAAUAAUACAAAUUUGGUGCUCUGACAUUGUACAUGUGGGACCAAUUAAAAAUAAACUACAGUGAACUGCACUGAACAUCGUCAACCUUACAAGUAUAAAAAUGCAAAAGGCACAUCUGAGGGAACACGUGCAUUUUUACGUGCAGGAUAACUUCAAAUAAAGUUCAGAUAAGUACAAGUAUGAUUCAUUUGACUGCUUCAAGUUCUCCAUAAAAAAAAAAUGGUUACAAAAUAUUGUCGUUUCCGUUUACGAUGAGCAAUCUGCCACGAUUGAAAGUGCUGAAGAACUCAUGAAUGGUUUACAGCAUAAAACACAUGAGCUUAUUUAAAGCAGGAAGCUUAUCCAAGAAAGUGUGCUAUCAGGCUUCAACUGCUAUGUAAAACUGGGUAGUUAGGCCUCCGUUGUCUAUGCAAAGUGACAGCUAAAAAAACAGUCCCCUGAGCUCCGUGGGGAGAAGAGACGUGUAAAUGAUCUAAGUAAUCUUGUUUAGAUCAGCUUUUCUGAAGAUAUAACUGACAAGCGCACACAAACAGGAAAAAUGAGUCAGACAUUCCUUGCAUAUGAAAUGCACUCCUCUCACAAAUGUUAUGAUAAGCUAUGGUAAAUGCUGCUCUUUGCUGCACUUUCACUUUACAAAAAAAAGUUCUCCUUUUUAUUCUGAGAAAGAGGAAUGACACAAAUACUGCAGCUGGAGAUGUUCUAAAAUAUACCCUCUUUAACUGCAGCACUAUACAGUACCUUAUCUGGUAUGUGUUGAUAUCACUAUUAGUCAUGUCUAAAGAAUCUGUGAGUGUUUGUGAGAGUUUUGUUUCCCUAGGCAAAGUUUGGCAAACCACAAAAUUCCUUCAAAUCUCCCCCAACUCCACCAAAUUAUUAACAGCUCCAAACACAGCAUAUUUAAAAAUGCUUUGACAUACGAGUUCGAAUAAAAGAAUGGGCUCGGAAAUACAAGCAGAGCGUUGGCAGGAUGAAUUAUCAUUCUGAUUUUGCAGAAUUUUAAUAAAUUCUCUUUAUUUUUUUAUUGCAGCUAAUAUUUUUGAGCAAUAAUUCACUCUCAUUUGUUUAAUCUUCUCAUGAGCCCUUAAGCCCAAACUGAGCUUUGGGAAAGCACCUAUCUGAUGAGUUCACAGGCAAAAGUGAGGAGGGAAAAAAAGCCCUUUUUACCUGCCAGUGAUCCAGCACAUCAUAUUUAAAACAAAGCAAAACAAAACAAAAACUUAAGCAGUUUAAGUGUGGGAGGCCAGUGAUGUGCCCCACCCAAGUAACUACCCUUUCACAGAGUCAAUGAGCCCAACCCUGGAGCUGUAUCUCCAGACUUACCAAUAAUUCCUAACUGCCUGACCCAGAAGCUGCAUCAGGAGGCCCCGUCGCACAGCCUGUGAUCCACACCCCGGAGCUGCACUGGAGGAACUGCUCACACAGCCCAGUGGGACCAGUCUUGGAUGUGCAAACAUGCAGGCACGCCUUAUCUGUGCUGUUUUCUGACAGAUACUGAACAGAUACAAAGACAGCUGCAGAAAAAAAGAAAAACAGCAAAAGCACACCUACAAACUUUUCAUAUUACUCUUCAUUUCCUAUAUUAAAAAAAAAAAAAAAUCAAGGUUACCAGUUAGUAAACACAGUUACAGGGCUAAAAUGUCUGCAGCAACUUGUGUGUUUAUCAUCGGUAAAUACACACAGCUGUUAGAGUCCAGCGUAGCCAGUGAACAAUGCUGGCAGCUACACACCUCCAGCACAAGGGACACAUUAAGAGAAAUAGUAGGAGGAACUGGCCCACACUUUGUGUGUGUGAGGGAGUGUUUAAUGUAUAAUGUCCUCACCCUGAGAGUAGGUUGAAAAUCUUAUUGCAGGCGAAUGGAUUGCAAAAUGUUAGUGUGAAGUGGAACAGGAUCUAUUUAAAGCCAUGUCAUUGUGAUGCUUAAAGACCUGUCCACAACCCGGAAAGGAGGUUCUCUUCCAAGAUUUUAUGGUCCAUUGGCUCAAAGUGUUGAAGUUGUCCUGUACAAUCUUAAAUGGAUCUCCAGAUUGAGGGUCUACGGUUUUGUCCCUGACGUCCUUUGACCACUCUUUGGUCUUGCCCGUGGUGGUGGAGAGGUUGGAAUGGAAGAAACUGAAUCUGAUCCAGAGUCUUUGUUGAUGCAUCAGACAGAUGAACUGACUGCAGUGAAGAGAGAGUAAAAUACCUGCAGAAGGAGCGUCGGAUCUUUUUUUGUUUGUUAUUUUUAUUCUUGUAUUUAAAAGAUCUCAGUCUAGCUCUCAGGGAAGUAAAAGGGAGUCUGAGCUGUAACAGGAGUGUGUGUGUGUGAGAUCACAUCAUGUGUGAGUUUGAGCACACUGUGUGUGUGUGUGCAUGUGUGUGAGAUUAGAGAAGGGCAAAGAGUUGAGGUGGUGUUUGAUGCUAGUCUCAGUGGCAGGCUUCAAAAAAACUAAAACAAAAACCUGUCACUCAGCUUCUCUCCACGCAAUGCAUACGCACACAAACACACAUGUGACCACCCGCAUACACUGCACUCACACAAUCUGGCUCUCCAGCACAGCCAUAGACUUCUAGCAGCAACACCUCUGACCAUGUAAAACCUCUCUCCCUGUGCAGGCACACACAUGCAUUAAUACUUGCACACACAUGCAACCUUAUAGGCACACAUAUAGAACAGUUCUAAGCAUACAAAUAACAAAUAAACCGAGUCAAUUCAGUGUACAAUCGGUGUAUCAUAAAGGAUCAAUUCCUGCAGAACACGCACAUGUACUGGAGUACACAUGCACAGACAUACAGACUUACUGUAUGGAUGCUGUACUCUUGUGUGUAAUCCUAAAAUAAAUAGGGUGCUAAGUAAACGCCUAACUCAGCAACUUAUUCUCUUUGUCACGUACACACAUUUAACCAGCACCCAAGCUGGGAGAUCUUGCUCUUUCCUUUACAGUAGGUCAUUUCUUUCAACAGAUUUAUCACCGGUGUUGCACAACCCAUUCGAUUAUCUGUGUCUGUGUGCCCUUCGUGAGAGAGUGACCAACUGAGCUUCUGUGAUAGUGUCUCUGCGGGUGUUUGUGUGUAUCAGAGGGCCGUAGGCUCAAGCUAUUAAGAUCAGUAUAGUGGUGAGAUAUGUGAUCUGAGGGAUGCUACUUCAGAGAAGUGAACAAAGCAGAUGCUGUUCCAGAGAAGAAACUGCACAAGGCCAACAUACGAACCCUGGGGGACCCCUCUACAGUGCUAGCUUUGGAGCAACUAUUGUAUUUGGCCAAAUGUAUUAGCGCCAACAGUUUAAUCUAACACAGUAUAAAGGACUGCCAAGAAAAUCUGAUGUGUUAUUAUUGUCACGUUUAACCAUCUGUCUUGGGGUUUUGGUCCAAAUUUCUUAUUCACAAAGUUGAAUAAUAUCAGGCCCUCCCAACAGGGAUGUUUGUGACAACGCAUUGAUAUUCCUGACAGGAACUGUCGGGGGACUUUGGAUGUGUUGUGUGAGAUCUCUUCCACACAGAGGUGAGUGACAAAUAAGGAAAGAAAUAUUAACUAUAAAGAAAAACAGAUUUAAAGAUAAAGAAAGACAAAGACAGCCAAAACAGACAUAAUCUACAAAUUACUUUCAUGAAAGGCAAAUGUGUGCUGAAUUUUUAAAUGGAGAAUAACAGUGGAGAAAUUUAAGAAGGAAGGAGGAAAAUAAUAGAGGUCAAAUACUAGAUGAUAAUAAUAAUAAUAACAGAGUGACAAAUACUUCUGCAAAAAGUAAAUAAAAAUAAAAUAAAACAAGAAAAAAGCUACGCACAGCUAAGUGUUCAAUAUAUAUACCUUCACACUAGUUUCAGCACACUGUCAUUGAGCUCCAUUGGCACGGAAAGACAAAUCUGGAAGGCCGACUGGACCGAAAUCCCAAAGCUGCCAUUUUAAGGAUGCAGAACUGCAGAUUAGCCAUGGCAUGUAAAACUUCAGUGAAAAAGCAAAGUGGUCAGACAAGAAACAACAAGAAUAAAAAGUCAUC